rnacentral:piRNA from 1 species
UCUGAGUUAGUCCAGUCCUUCUUCUGC